rnacentral:rRNA from 1 species
AACAUAGCCACUUGAAUAUAUUUGUGGUUUAACCUGCCCAAUGUAACUAAUAUGAAUGGCCGCGGUACCUUGACCGUGCUAAGGUAGCGUAAUCAGUUGGCUUUUAAAUGGAGUCAGGUAUGAAUGGGAUAACUGGGUCUAGCUGUCUCAGAAAUAUUUUUUUGAAUUUACUGUUUAAGUGAAAAAGCUUAAAUUUUAUAAAGGGACGAGAAGACCCUUGGAAUUUUUUUUAAUUUAGGAUUAUUCCUAAUGUUAUUUUGUUGGGGCGACAUAGAAAUAGUUAAAACUUUCUUUAUAAUAUGAGUCGGAAUUUUCAGGAAAAGAUAAAUUACCCAAGGGAUAACAGCAUAAUUCUAUAAAUGAGUUUGUGACCUCGAUGUUGGACUAGGAAGCUGGCAGGUUAGCUGCUUGUCGUGCGAAUUCUGUUCGAAUUUUAACUCCUACGUGA